rnacentral:rRNA from 1 species
CCUACGGGUGGCAGCAGUGAGGAAUAUUGGUCAAUGGGCGCGAGCCUGAACCAGCCAAGUCGCGUGAGGGAAGACGGUCCUACGGAUUGUAAACCUCUUUUGCCGGGGAGCAAAAAGCGGUACGUGUACCGCCACGAGAGUAACCGGAGAAAAAGCAUCGGCUAAACCCGUGCCCGCCGCCGCGGGAAAUCGGAGGAUGCGAGCGUUAUCCGGAGUUAUUGGGUUUAAAGGGUGCGCAGGCGGCGAGUUAAGUCAGCGGUAAAAUUUCGGGGCUCAACCCCGACAAGCCGUUGAAACUGGCUUGCUAGAGUGGAAGAGAAGUAUGCGGAAUGCGUGGUGUAGCGGUGAAAUGCAUAGAUAUCACGCAGAACCCCGAUUGCGAAGGCAGCAUGCCGGCGCCCAACUGACGCUCAGGCACGAAAGCGUGGGUAUCGAACAGGAUUAGAUACCCGUGUAGUC